GUCACAUCAUCUUCGUUACAAUUGUCUCGCUCCUUUUGCUCUUUAGCUCCCCAUUUCCUUUUCCCAUUUGAUCUUGUGCUUCGUUGCUGGAAGCUCUUGUGCUCUUUGGUGCUCUCUUUUGCAACAGGAACUGGAAUUGGAAGGCAUGGCAAAUAUAAUUCAGGAGGCGAAGGAAGCUGUGAUUCCGGGUGAAUCGAAGACGUCUGCAUCUGGGAAGCGGAUUUUGAUCGUGGCUACAUCUCACGAUAAGCUUGGCGACAGUGGCCAACCUACUGGAUGCUGGGCUGAGGAAUUAGCGGCUCCAUACUACAUUUUCAAAGAUGCGGGUGCUCAAGUGGAUGUGGCGAGCAUUAAGGGUGGAAAAAUUCCAAUCGAUAUUGGGAGUCUAGCAGAGAAUUUCGUGACCCCCCAUGUGAAUCGCUACUUGGCGGAUGAGUCUCUGAAAGAGUCCGUUGAGCUCGCUUUCAGUGAAGGAAAGUUUUUCCAAUUACGACGCCAUUUACAUUCCAGGAGGUCAUGGUAUUAUGUUUGAUGGGCCAAAUGACAAGCAUUUUAUUGCUGUGGUUGAGAAGUUCUGGACAGAAGGAAAGAUUGUGGCCUCUGUAUGUCAUGGCCCUGCUGGACUUGUGGCCAUUCGGGCCCCAGAUGGCAUUCCCAUUGUGAAGGGUAAAAAGGUAGGAAUAUAUUUGCGGGUUAUAUUACCUAAGAAACAAAUGAUUCUUUUCCAAUGUGAAGGGGUAUCAAUCAUGUGCUAUGUACGUGUGUCCAGGUCUGUGGGUUUUCAAAUGCUGAGGAAGCAGCAGUUGGAAAGACGAACAAGGUCCCCUUCCUUCUUGAAGACAAGCUCAAAGAAUUAGGUGGCUUAUAUGAAGCUGGACCUGAUUGGCAACCAAAAGCUGUUGCCGACGGACAGUUAAUUA